rnacentral:rRNA from 1 species
GACGAACGCUGGCGGCGUGCUUAACACAUGCAAGUCGUACGACAGCAUUUCCUUUAGGUGUGUUUGGAGUGGCGAACGGGUGAGUAACACGUGAGUGACCUGCCCUUCACUUUGGGAUAACGUGCGGAAACGUGCGCUAAUACCAAAUAUUCGCAUUUCUGCUGCAUGGUGGGGUGUGGAAAGGGGCCUUCGGGUUCGUGGUGGGGGAGUGGGCGUCGCGGCCUAUCGAGCNGUGUUGGUUGGGUGAUGGCCUACCAAGGCGUGGACGGGUAGCCGGCCU